rnacentral:rRNA from 1 species
CGGAGGAAAAGAAACCAACAGGGAUUGCCUCAGUAACGGCGAGUGAAGCGGCAAAAGCUCAAAUUUGAAAUCCCCCGGGAAUUGUAAUUUGAAGGACCUAUUAAAACCCUGAGAGAGCCCAAAGUCCAUUGGAAAAUGGCGCCAUAGAAGGUGAUAGCCCUGUGUGGACCUCUCUCAGCAUACUUUUUAGGCCCAAAGAGUCGAGUUGUUUGGGAAUGCAGCUCUAAGUGGGUGGUAAAUUCCAUCUAAAGCUAAAUAUUGGCGAGAGACCGAUAGCGAACAAGUACAGUGAUGGAAAGAUGAAAAGCACUUUGAAAAGAGAGUGAAAAAGUACGUGAAAUUGUUGAAAGGGAAGGGCUUGCAAGCAGACACAACCUCGGUUGGGCCAGCAUCGGGGCGGGGGGAAACAAAAAAGGUGUGGAAUGUGGCUCUUACGAGU